AAUGAACGCUGGCGGCAGGCCUAACACAUGCAAGUCGAGCGAGAGGCGGACGGGUGAGUAAUGUAUGGGGACUGCCUGAUAGAGGGAGAUAACUACUGGAAACGGUGGCUACUACCGCAUACUAUCGGUUGGCUCAUAUGGGCUUAGCUAGUAGGUGUGGUAAAGGCUCACAAAGGCGACGAUCCCUAGCUGGGCUGAGAGGAUGAUAAGCCACACUGGGACUGAGACACGGCCCAGACUCCUACGGAGGCAGCAGUGGGGAAUAUUGCACAAUGGACGCAAGCCUGAUGCAGCCACGCCGCGUGUAUGAAGAAGGCCUUUGGGUUGUAAAGUACUUUUAGUGGGGAGGCGUUACCAGCAGAAGAAGCACCGGCUAACUCCGUGCCAGCAGCCGCGGUAAUAC
rnacentral:rRNA from 1 species